GGUGAGGCUGGAUGGUGGUGAGGAACUGCCACUGAAGUAUGAAAUGAGACGAGGAACUCACUCAGAACGUCUGACAAAUGCUCCUGAUUUAACAAGAGCUGAAACUAGAACUUCUUACCUACUUUCUAACUGAUUGACGAUCAAGAAAUCCUACAGUGACAACUCUUCAACAUCAUGGACGCAUCAGAGCAGAGCUUUUACUCACACACACACCUAUGGAGAGAGAACUCUUUGAGACUCAACUGGCUGGAAAACAUGACUCACGGGCCCCCAGAGGAGGAGCACCUGCACGAGACCAUCGGCUGUGUGUGGGGCAACUACACUCCAGGUUCUGAGUUCUUAAUCGUGGAGCGUCCUGACGGGGAGGAAGGUCAUCUCGCUGUCUCCAACUCUCCUGAUGAGAAAAGGGGUAGCUGAGGUCAGGAACCUGCUCCAGGGUGAAGGUGAGGUUGCUGUUGGUAUUGUAGGUGAUGGCCAUGGACUGAUGGAACAGGAGGAGAUGGAGAGGGAGAUGGAAGAGGAAGAGGCGGGAGACUGGGAAUAUGAAGAUUCACUUGAUCAGUACCAAAUGUUUGUAUUCUGGAUAACUUUCCACCCAGAUGAACAGAGUGGUCGAAUCAAUAACUAGACUGGCACCCGUUACAUAAACAUGUUCACCCUGUAAAAUCAGAGGUCUGGUGGUUGGCCUGGG